UAAUACGUAGGUGGCAAGCGAUACUCGGAAUCACUAGGCGUAAAGCGCAGGUAGGCGGUUUGGUAAGUCUUUUGUGAAAGCUCCCGGCUUAACUGGGAGAGGUCAAGGGAAACUACCGGACUAGAGUGUGGUAGGGGAUACUGGAAUUCCUGGUGUAGCGGUGAAAUGCGUAGAUAUCAGGAGGAAUACCUAUGGCGAAAGCAGGUAUCUGGGCCAUCACUGACGCUGAGCUGCGAAAGCUAGGGGAGCAAACAGGAUUAGAUACCCUGGUAGUCCUAGCCCUAAACGAUGCUCAUUAGAUGUGGGAGGUAUCGACCCCUUCCGCGUCGCAGCUAACGCAUUAAAUGAGCCGCCUGGGGAGUACGGCCGCAAGGUUG
rnacentral:rRNA from 1 species